AUACUUACCUGGCACAGGAGUGACUUUGAUCAAGAAGGAAGUCCUCCCAGGGAGAGGCCUCGGCAUUGCACUUUCGGCUGAGGUUGACCCCUGCGAUUCCACUAAUGUUGGGAACGGGUGUGCAAUUUAUGGUAGCGGGGGUGACUGCGUUCGCGCUAACCCCCA